ACUUAGGGUCUGAUCCAAAGCCUGUUGAAGUCAAUGGAAGUCGUUUAAUUGACUACAGUGGGCUUUGAAUCAGGCCCGAAAAGU
rnacentral:pre_miRNA from 1 species